GAUAAACGCUAGCGGCAGGCUUAACACAUGCAAGUCGAGGGGCAGCAUAGAUUGUAGCAAUACAAUUGGUGGCGACCGGCGCACGGGUGCGUAACGCGUAUGCAACCUACCCGUCACAGGGGGAUAAUCCGGAGAAAUCUGGUCUAAUACCCCAUGACAUAUGGAUCGGCAUCGGUUCAUGUUGAAAUUUUCGGAGGUGACGGAUGGGCAUGCGUAGCAUUAGCUUGUUGGUGAGGUAACGGCUCACCAAGGCGACGAUGCUUAGGGGGACUGAGAGGUGUACCCCCCACACUGGUACUGAGACACGGACCAGACUCCUACGGGAGGCAGCAGUGAGGAAUAUUGGUCAAUGGGCGCAAGCCUGAACCAGCCAUGCCGCGUGCAGGAUGACAGCUCUAUGAGUUGUAAACUGCUUUUGUACGAGGGUAAAGUGGGUUACGUGUAACCUUUUGAAAGUAUCGUACGAAUAAGGAUCGGCUAACUCCGUGCCAGCCGCCGCAGUAA
rnacentral:rRNA from 1 species